rnacentral:rRNA from 1 species
UACGGAGGAUCCAAGCGUUAUCCGGAAUUACUGGGCGUAAAGAGUUGCGUAGGUGGCAUGGUAAGUUGAUAGUGAAAUUGUCCGGCUCAACCGGAUACACAUUAUCAAAACUGCCAAGCUAGAGGACAAGAGAGGUCACUGGAAUUCCUAGUGUAGGAGUGAAAUCCGUAGAUAUUAGGGGGAACACCGAUGGCGUAGGCAGGUGACUGGCUUGUUCCUGACACUAAGGCACGAAAGCGUGGGGAGCGAACGGG